rnacentral:rRNA from 1 species
AACGAACGCUGGCGGCAUGCCUAACACAUGCAAGUCGAACGAGACCUUCUGGUCUAGUGGCCCACGGGUGCGUAACGCGUGGGAACCUUCCCUUAGGUUCGGAAUAACUCCCCGAAAGGGGUGCUAAUACCGGAUGAUGUCUUCUGACCAAUGAUUUAUCGCCUUUGGAUGGUCCCGCGUUGGAUUAGCUAUUUGGUAAGGUAAAAGCCUACCAAGGCGACGAUCCAUAGCUGGUCUGAGAGGAUGAUCAGCCACACUGGGACUGAGACACGGCCCAGACUCCUACGGGAGGCAGAAGUUGGGAAUAUUGGACACCGGGCGAAAGACUGAUCCAGCCAUGCCGCGUGAGUGAUGAAGGCCUUAGGGUUGUAAAGCUCUUUUACCCGGGAUGAUAAUGACAGUACCGGGAGAAUAAGCUCCGGCUAACUACGUG